ACAGGUGCUGCAUGGCUGCGUCAGCUCGUGUCGUGAGAUGUUGGGUUAAGUCCGUAACGAGCGCAACCCUUGUCCUUAGUUACCAGCACGUUAUGGUGGGCACUCUAAGGAGGACUGCCGGUGACAAACCGGAGGAAGGUGGGGAUGACGUCAAGUCAUCAUGGCCCUUACGGCCUGAGCUACACACGUGCUACAAUGGUCGGUACAAAGGGUUGCCAAGCCGCGAGGUGGAGCUAAUCCCAUAAAACCGAUCGUAGUCCGGAUCGCAGUCUGUAACUCGACUGCGUGAAGUCGGAAUCGCUAGUAAUCGUGAAUCAGAGUGUCACGGUGAAUACGUUCCCGGGCCUU
rnacentral:rRNA from 1 species